AGAGUUUGAUCAUGGCUCAGAUUGAACGCUGGCGGCAUGCCUAACACAUGCAAGUCGAACGGAAACGAUGGGAGCUUGCUCCCAGGCGUCGAGUGGCGGACGGGUGAGUAAUACUUAGGAAUCUACCCAGUAGCGGGGGACAACUCGGGGAAACUCGAGCUAAUACCGCAUACGCCCUACGGGGGAAAGCAGGGGAUCUUCGGACCUUGCACUAUUGGAUGAGCCUAAGUCGGAUUAGCUUGUUGGUGAGGUAAAGGCUCACCAAGGCGACGAUCCGUAGCUGGUCUGAGAGGACGAUCAGCCACACUGGGACUGAGACACGGCCCAGACUCCUACGGGAGGCAGCAGUGGGGAAUAUUGGACAAUGGGGGCAACCCUGAUCCAGCAAUGCCGCGUGUGUGAAGAAGGCCUGCGGGUUGUAAAGCACUUUCAGUAGAGAAGAAAAGCCUAGGGUUAAUAACCCUGAGUCUUGACGUUACCUACAGAAGAAGCUCCGGCUAACUCCGUGCCAGCAGCCGCGGUAAUACGGAGGGAGCGAGCGUUAAUCGGAAUUACUGGGCGUAAAGCGCGCGUAGGCGGCUUUGUAAGUCGGAUGUGAAAGCCCUGGGCUCAACCUGGGAAUGGCAUUCGAUACUGCAUGGCUAGAGUAUGGUAGAGGGAAGUGGAAUUUCCGGUGUAGCGGUGAAAU
rnacentral:rRNA from 1 species